CAACAAAAAAGCAAAAGACUAUUGCGUCAUUUUUUCAAAAAGUCACUUCUAAACACCUGUGACGCGAGAGCAGGCUGGACAGAAGACCUUCUGAAAUGAAAGGGUCAAACUCGAGUUUUCAUGACUGCACUGGAAGUAGUGCCAUCAUUAGGCAGCGACAUUACUCGAACACAGGAGGAGUCUGUGAUUCUGCUGUUUGCUCGUGAGCUGGCAGACUAACAGGAUCAGGGAGGUGAGGGAGAACUGAGGGCUGUCUGAACAGGCUGUUUGAUGAAGAAGAGCAAAGCAAACAAACUGCUGCAGGUGGAUGAACACUAAUUCAAAACACAUGCUUCAGAGCUUUGACACCACACUUCAAAGCAGGUCUGCAUGAGUACGAGGAUGACUUUCU